CUGUUGCGUCUUCACCAGAUCUUAUGUCUGUUUGCGUCGGCUGGUCGUCAGCUGGACGGACGGAAACGCCGUCGUGUCUGACUCAGCUCCUCCCCCGCUGAUCCAUUCUCUUCCUCUGGUCCGGUGGCAUCUCCUUUGGGCGGCUUCCGAUCUUUGAAGCCAGCGAUGAACUCCUCCAGAGUCACCGAGCCGUCGCUGUCCGCGUCCAGGCGGUUGAAGAUGCCGUCUGCUUCUUGUGACGGGACAUGAAGCUCCUGACAGAUGGUGGAAAACUCGUUUUUUUCAAUCCGACCCGAAUGAUCCACAUCGUAGGCGUGAAAGAGUGAACUCAGGAGCUUUUGUUGCUCCUUGCUCGCGCCCCUUGUUGAAGCCAUAUUUAGCUUUCAAAAUCUUUGUUAAUGGACAUCCAUUUUUCAAAAUUCAAAAUUGAAAUUCGAAUUUCAAUUAGAAUUAGAGAUUUGAAAAAAGGAUUAGUGUGAAUCCUUUAGCCGACUCACUUUUAUAUCCUCCCUGCGCCUUUUCCCGGUUUGACACGUGGAUAUUCCUGAUAAAAUCACAUUUUUCAAACCUCCAACACUGCGUUACAAAUUUCGUUAACGCCAUGAUUGCCAUCAAAGUCAAAGAACGCCUCAAGGUAAGCGAAAGAGAGGUAUUUGCUCUUUCCCCUCAAAAACAGCAAAUUUCAUCAUUUAAAAUGAUCACAUUUUUAACUUUUUAUAAUAUAUCACGGUUGCCAUACCCAAUCAUCCAACGUUUCUAUUUUUAAAUGGCAAUGAAGGAGUCCACUGUUCUCUCUCAAUAGUCCAAUAGUGCAAGUGACUUGCAUGGGAAGCCCCGUAGUCUGGUUUUAGAGGUCUUAUCUAGCAGGAAAAGUUUUGUUGAAGAACUUUGUCUUUUUCCCCCAAAAAUAAACAGUUAACCAAU